UGCCUUAGUAACUGCGAGUGAAGCGGCAAAAGCUCAAAUUUGAAAUCUGGUACCAUUCGGUGCUCGAGUUGUAAUUUGGAGAGGCAACUUCGGAGAGGGCGUUGGCCUAAGUUCCUUGGAACAGGACGUCACAGAGGGUGAGAAUCCCGUGCUUGGCUGACUGUCCCUCUUCAUGUGAAGUGUCUUCGACGAGUCGAGUUGUUUGGGAAUGCAGCUCAAAAUGGGUGGUAAACUCCAUCUAAGGCUAAAUAUUGGCGAGAGACCGAUAGCGCACAAGUAGAGUGAUCGAAAGAUGAAAAGCACUUUGAAAAGAGAGUUAAAAAGUACGUGAAAUUGUUGAAAGGGAAGCGCUUGAGACCAGACUCGGUGAUAGGUGAUCAGCGGUUGCUUCUGCUCCGUGCACUUGCCUUUUACCGGGCCAGCAUCAGUUAUAGCGGUGGGAUAAAGACUCAGGGAAUGUGGCUCCCUUCGGGGAGUGUUAUAGCCCUGGGUGUAAUGCCACCUGUUGUGACUGAGGACCGCGCUUCGGCUAGGAUGCUGGCAUAAUGGUCUUCAGCGACCCGUCUUGAAACACGGACCAAGGAGUCUAACAUCUAUGCGAGUGUUCGGGUGUAAAACCCCUACGCGGAAUGAAAGUGAACGGAGGUGGGAACCUUUUAGGUGCACCAUCGACCGAUCCUGAUGUUUACGGAUGGAUUUGAGUAGGAGCAUAGCUGUUGGGACCCGAAAGAUGGUGAACUAUGCCUGAAUAGGGUGAAGCCAGAGGAAACUCUGGUGGAGGCUCGCAGCGGUUCUGACGUGCAAAUCGAUCGUCAAAUUUGGGUAUAGGGGCGAAAGACUAAUCGAACCAUCUAGUAGCUGGUUCCUGCCGAAGUUUCCCUCAGGAUAGCAGUAACGAUCUCAGUUUUAUGA
rnacentral:rRNA from 1 species